GCCGCGAUAGCUCAGCUGGUAGAGCACGGGUUUGAAGCACCCGGAUCGCGUAGGUUCAAGUCCUACUCGCGGCACCU
rnacentral:tRNA from 1 species